rnacentral:misc_RNA from 1 species
UGGCGGACUGCAUAUGUGAGUGUGAUCAAAGAAUGCUUACAUAGAUGGUGUUUAAACAAGAUGGAGUAUUCUUUUUACUUUUAGAGGCUGUCAUAUUAUAAAAUUCCAAGACAAAUUUGCCUGGUAGCUGCUUAAAGUGGUUUUGAUUUUCUGUAAAAAAUAUGUGAAGGAGAGAAGAGAACUGUAAUGGAAUAGGAACUAUGAGAUUAAAUCAACACUCUGG